GAGGGUAUAGCUCAGUGGUAGAGCAGAUACUUGGCAUGCGUGAGGUCCUGGGUUCCAUCCCUGGUAUCUCCA
rnacentral:tRNA from 1 species